rnacentral:rRNA from 1 species
UACGGAGGGAGCUAGCGUUGUUCGGAAUUACUGGGCGUAAAGCGCACGUAGGCGGCUUUUUAAGUCAGGGGUGAAAUCCCGGGGCUCAACCCCGGAACUGCCCUUGAAACUGGAAAGCUAGAAUCUUGGAGAGGCGAGUGGAAUUCCGAGUGUAGAGGUGAAAUGCGUAGAGAUCCGGAGGAACACCAGUGGCGAAGGCGGCCUGCUGGUCCUCAACUGACGCUGAGACGCGAAAGCAUGGGGAGCGAACGGG